GUUAGGAAUAUUGCACAAUGGGCGAAAGCCUGAUGCAGCGACGCCGCAUGAACGACGAAGGCCCUAGGGUUGUAAAGUUCUUUUCUGAAGGAAGAUUAUGACGGUACUUCAGGAAUAAGUCACGGCUAACUACGUGCCAGCAGCCGCGGUAAUACGUAGGUGGCAAGCGUUAUCCGGAAUCAUUGGGCGUAAAGAGUGUGUAGGCGGUUUUUUAAGUCAGUUGUAAAAUCUGUGGGCUCAACUCACAACAUGCAUCUGAAACUGAAAAACUUGAGUCUGGAAGAGGUAAGCGGAAUUUGUGGUGUAGCGGUGAAAUGCUUAGAUAUCACAAGGAACACCAAUGGCGAAGGCAGCUUACUGGGACAGUACUGACGCUGAGACACGAAAGCGUGGGGAGCGAACGGGAUUAGAAACCCGGGUAGUCC
rnacentral:rRNA from 1 species